GUCCAUGCCGUAAACGAUGUUCAUUAGUGAAUGGAAUUUUCAUUCACGCAGCUAACGCAUUAAAUGAACCGCCUGAGUAGUAUGCUCGCAAGAGUGAAACUUAAAGGAAUUGACGGGGACCCGCACAAGCGGUGGAGCAUGUGGUUUAAUUUGAAGAUACGCGAAGAACCUUACCCACUUUUGACAUCUUCUGCAAAGCUAUGGAGACAUAGUGGAGGUUAACAGAAUGACAGAUGGUGCAUGGUU
rnacentral:rRNA from 1 species